UAUAUGUUAAUGCUAGAUAAGCUCCAAGAUUAUUAACAAUUUUUACUUACAAUCUUUAUGUCGGACCAUCUAGCAUUAACAUGUUUGACUAAAAGGCAAGAUUUUGUGCAGUUCUUUUUGAACUUCUCAAUAUCGUUUGAGGAUACAAUUUCGGAAAACCGUUCCGGAAGAUAAACCUCAGUGGACCUCAUUCCGGGAGUGUAUAGUUUCAAGAUGAUGCGACGUCCAUGUUGGUUGGACGCCUCCCGGACGUCCACAAUGGGGUAUGGUAACCCCUCCUCCAAUUCCCGCAGAGGCGUCCAGGGUUUUUCACAUCUAGAAUUUAUAAUUCGAAUAAAGUCGUCUGUCUCCCUGUCCAAUUCAUCCUCCUCCUCCCCCUCCUCCGUCUCCCGUAACAAAGACAUUAUUGAGCUGUCUUGCGACUCCUGUUGCUGCACUCGUAUCUGUUGAAAAAUAUUUCAUUAGACUCUUAUUUGUUUCAGGUUUAAAAUCAUACAAGAGAGAGAGAGAGAUCUUGCUCAACAGAUUCACUACUCAAAACUGCUUGUACGAGUGAGAUAGAAACACAUAGGAGGCGUGUCACAAUUGGCGAACACUGCCAAUACUCCCCAGAGGUUUAGCUCGACGAUAACAUUUGAUUCAUUUUCUCACCUCACAACUCGGUCUCAUAAGCAGUUGUGCUCUCGUGAGGGAAACUUACCUGCAUCGAGAAAAUCAUAGCCGAGGAGCUAGCUGAGUUGAGACAAUACCUGAACCGAGUCGAGGAGCUGAGAGAAGCAUAUCCGAUUAUUUCAUUUCGUCAAAUCAACACAUAAAAAAUGGCGAGAAUACAAAGUUAUCGUUGUGAACUAACUGAACUAUUGGAGACGCAUCACCAAUUAUUGGACCAGUUAGCAGAAAAAGGAUGGACAAAUCUACAAUAUUUAACUUUUGUGAGAGAUUAUGAAA